AGCAGCUUGUUCUAAAAAAGACAUUGAACAGCCUGAGAAUUUGUCAUGGAACAUUUGGAGUUGUGCAUAACCAGUGAAUAGGUUAAAGAUGGUUUGCUCUACAGCACAUGCCAUUGGUGGGUCAAACAUAUGGCACUCGUCAAGAAUAUUCAAUUAUUUAAAGACAAUUACUUCAGUUUCUCAGUUAAGUAGAGGCACACAACUGAGUUCGCAGGUUCAAGACCCAGCCAGGAAAUCUGAAGCAACAAUCCAGGUGGAGGUGAACAAUAUAGCACUUUACUUAAAAUUACUUAUCUGAAAUGAGUUCUUAAAUAGUUCCUCCAGCAGUUUGGCUUCUGCUCUUUACUAAAUCCUGACUAUCUUCUACAUGCACCACUUAAACCAAAUGAAUUGACUCCACUGGCUUGACCAAUGUUACUACAGUGGGUCAGAUCUCACUAUCUACCUCACUUCAUUGUGAUGGUUUAUUGCAAUAUUGUGACAGCAAUUGUGUGGCACUUUGGAAUGGGAUGGACAUUUCUUUAAACAUAUGAAC